GCUUGCUCCCUGAUGUUAGCGGCGGACGGGUGAGUAACACGUGGGUAACCUGCCUGUAAGACUGGGAUAACUCCGGGAAACCGGGGCUAAUACCGGAUGGUUGUUUGAACCGCAUGGUUCAGACAUAAAAGGUGGCUUCGGCUACCACUUACAGAUGGACCCGCGGCGCAUUAGCUAGUUGGUGAGGUAACGGCUCACCUAGGGGAGUAUGCGUAGCCGACCUGAGAGGGUGAUCGGCCACACUGGGACUGAUACACGGCCCAGACUCCUACGGGAGGCAGCAGUAGGGAAUCUUCCGCU
rnacentral:rRNA from 1 species